rnacentral:lncRNA from 1 species
GUCAAAUGAAUUCUUUUAUCUGAUUCUCGAUCAAAUCUCUUUUUUCUCUCUAGUGUAUGUAUGUAUAUAUAUAUAUACAUACACACAUGCAUCUUAAAAAUUGUGAAAAAAUGGGGCGUUGAAAGUCGGUGAAUUGACUGCCACGUGCAUAUAUUAUAUUCAGUUUCGUGGCUAGACUUUUGCUUACAAAGGGAUUUUUCAGAAAUAAAAGAGAAAUAUUUGGAGCAUGGGAUGUUGAAAUAUAUCGCCUUUAAUCGUCGCGGAACCUUCUAGUUAGCUUCAAUGUAAUAGGCAAAUAAAAAAUUGAUACUCGUGC